GAUGAACGCUGGCGGCGUGCCUAAUACAUGCAAGUCGAGCGAACAGACGAGAGUGCUUGCACUCUCUGACGUUAGCGGCGGACGGGUGAGUAACACGUGGGUAACCUACCUAUAAGACUGGGAUAACUUCGGGAAACCGGAGCUAAUACCGGAUAAUAUUUAGCUUCGCAUGAAGCAAUAGUGAAAGACGGUUCUGCUGUCACUUAUAGAUGGACCCGCGGUGUAUUAGCUAGUUGGUGAGGUAACGGCUCACCAAGGCAACGAUACAUAGCCGACCUGAGAGGGUGAUCGGCCACACUGGGACUGAGACACGGCCCAGACUCCUACGGGAGGCAGCAGUAGGGAAUCUUCCGCAAUGGACGAAAGUCUGACGGAGCAAUGCCGCGUGAGUAAAGAAGGUUUUCGGAUCGUAAAACUCUGUUGUAAGGGAAGUACAAGUACGUUAGUAACUGAACGUACCUUGACGGUACCUUACCAGGAAGCCACGGCUAACUACGUG
rnacentral:rRNA from 1 species